UACGGGGGGGAGCAAGCGUUGUUCGGAUUUACUGGGCGUAAAGGGCGCGUAGGCGGCCAGCACAAGUCAGUUGUGAAAUCUCCGAGCUUAACUCGGAAAGGUCAACUGAUACUGUGCGGCUAGAGUGCAGAAGGGGCAACUGGAAUUCUUGGUGUAGCGGUGAAAUGCGUAGAUAUCAAGAGGAACACCUGCGGCGAAGGCGGCAUCCUGGACCGACACUGACGCUGGAGGCGACGAAAGCUAGGGUAGCAAACGGG
rnacentral:rRNA from 1 species